GUCCAGACUCCUACGGGAGGCAGCAGUGGGGGAUAUUGCACAAUGGGGGGAACCCUGAUGCAGCGACGCCGCGUGGGUGAAGGAGUAUUUCGGUAUGUAAAGCCCUAUCGGCAGGGAAGAAGCAAGACGGUACCUGACUAAGAAGCCCCGGCUAACUACGUGCCAGCAGCCGCGGUAAUACGUAGGGGGCGAGCGUUAUCCGGAUUCACUGGGUGUAAAGGGAGCGUAGACGGCCAUGCAAGCCAGGGGUGAAAGCCCGGGGCCCAACCCCGGGACUGCCCUUGGAACUGCAUGGCUGGAGUGCGGGAGGGGCAGGCGGAAUUCCUGGUGUAGCGGUGAAAUGCGUAGAUAUUAGGAGGAACACCAGUGGCGAAGGCGGCUUACUGGACGGCAACUGACGCUGAGGCUCGAAAGCGUGGGGAGCAAACAGGAUUAGAUACCCCUGUAU
rnacentral:rRNA from 1 species